rnacentral:rRNA from 1 species
GACGAACGCUGGCGGCGUGCUUAACACAUGCAAGUCGAACGGGUCUGCCCUGUUUUUUGCGGGGUGGGUCAGUGGCGAACGGGUGAGUAACACGUGAGUAACCUGCCCCUCACUUCUGGAUAACCGCUUGAAAGGGUGGCUAAUACGGGGUGUUCUGGCUGUGCCGCAUGGUGUGGCUGGGAAAGAUUCACUUUUGUGGUGUUUUGGUGGGGGAUGGGCUCGCGGCCUAUCAGCUUGUUGGUGGGGUGAUGGCCUGCCAAGGCUUUGACGGGUAGCCGGCCUGAGAGGGUGGGCGGUCACACUGGGACUGAGAUACGGCCCAGACUCCUGCGGGAGGCAGCAGUGGGGGGUAUUGCACAAUGGGCGGAAGCCUGAUGCAGCGACGUCGCGUGAGGGAUGGAGGCCUUCGGGUUGUGAACUCCUUUCGCCGGUGAAGAAGGUCCUGCUCUUUGUGGUGGGGUUGACGGUAGCCGGGUUAUGAAGCGCCGGCUAACUACGUG